rnacentral:lncRNA from 1 species
UUCUGCUUUUCUCUCAUUUAUUUAUUUGUUAAUUCAAUCAUUUAUUUAUAUCAGUAUGGGCUCAUGGAUAUAUAUGCUAUACUUUUAGUUAUGUUUCAAUGCUACAUCAUUUAUUUGGUUGCUCAAAUUUUUCCAGCUUUGGACCUGGGAGCCCACUCAAUGGACUCCUGCUCCCUGUGACAUACGCACUCAUCACUGUGUGUGUUUCUCGGCACUUCCUUACUUACAGGUACUAAGAGAUGCUCCAGGCCCUUCUUGCAUAUUUCCUGUUCCAGCCUUAGAAUCAGCCAUAUUUCCAAGGAGCUGCAGUUUCUUUUAUUAGAGAAUGGUGUGAGGAACCAAGAUCUGGGCAUUGAAUGUGUAAGCUGGGUUUUAAAGGACAGUGGACAAUAGAAAGGAACAGGAAUGGCAUUUGGAGUAGAAAGCUUGGCAUAAGCAAGUAUCCUGAGAAUGAAGAAAAUGAAUUCUAUGUGGGGAAGAGCAUAUACCUAGAUGGAAGCAUUUACACUGGUGAAAUAAAUCUUUCAGGCUUUAGGUCCAGACUGAAGUGUAAUAUUAUCCCAUCCCCCAACCCAUUUAUUCAUCACCUUUCUUCACAAUAGCUUCACCUUUUACCCAUUAGCUAAUGCAAAAGUCCUGGGAGCUAUUCUUUACUUCACUCUCCCUUUCCACUCAUAUGCAAUCAGUGAAAAAUAUUUCUUGAUUCUGCCUCCCAAUAAUUUUUAAACCUGUCUUCCACUGUCCAGAGCCACAUCUCCUGGCCAGGUACCUUCAAUGGUGGGUAAACCAGUUCCAACAUCCCUGGCAGCGUCUUCUCCCUGCAGCAGCCUUGCCACCUCUGGUGGUAUUCUCUACCAUGAUCAAGGCCAUUGGGCUUCCCAUUGAGUUUAAGGUGAAGCCUUCUGAGGCUGAUGGGCUGGGUGUGAUCUUUUCCUCACCAACCUGUCUACCUGACUCUCUGUUUUUGUAACCUGAGAUCCCACAGCAAGAUCUUCCAUCACUCCUCAAUCAAGCAUUGCAGUGGGACCUUUGGAGGAUGUGGCCUUUGUCCAGAUGCUUUUGCCUUAUCUGGCCUGGCUACCUGGUAUGACUAACUUCUUUCCAUUUUUGUUUUGCUGUCACUGCCUUGGGAAGACUUGUUUGCUCCAUGGUCAAGUAUGAUCCUCAAUACAGAUUCUCACACCAUACUAGGAGAAAAUGGGCCCAUAUUUUCAAUUUGUUGAUUCUAUUUAAAAUUUAUUCAGUAAAUACUUGCUCAGCAUUUAACUGUAUACUAAGAGGGUGUUCAAGGCGCUAGGCAUAGAGCAAUGAAAUGACAGAGUAAGAACCCCCUCCUCUUGGAGCUUAUAGUCCGAUGAGGAAGGCAGAAAACGUGUUGAGCAUUCAUCUGAAAAUCCAAAAUCUCAAAGGCUCCAAAAUCAAGCUUUUUGAGUGCCAGUGUCGCAGGUAGAAAACUCCACACAGAAUUACUUAACACAAACUUUGUUUUACACACAAAAUAUUAAACAUAUUUUAAUAUGAAGAUAUAUAUGAAACAAAUGAACUUUGUGUUUAGACUUAAGUUCCUUUCCCAAAAUGUCUCAUUUAUGUGUAUGCAAAUAUUCCUAAAUCUGAAAUCGCAAGCGCUUCUGGUCCGAGGCAGUUUGGAUAAGGGAUACGCAACAUGUAGCAAAUACAUAAAUAUGAUAUUUAGUAUAUCUGGAGCUGAUAAAUACUGUGGAGGAAAAAGGCAGGGGAGGCCAACAGGUGUGCAUGGAGUUGGGGGAGUCUUACAUUUACGUGGGUUGAUCAGAGAAAGCUUCAUUCAGAAGGUCGAUGCAUAAGCAAAGACUUGAAGGAGGGGAAGGAAGAACCCAUGCAGGUAGGAGGGGAAGAGCAUUCCAGGCAGAGGCCUGAGGGAGAGGUCGUGCCUGAUGAGCUCCAGAACAGCCAAGAAAUUUGAGUUUGAUAUGCCUGUGAAGCACAGAGGUCUAGAUAUCCAGUAGACAAUUUAUGCAUGACCUUGAGUUUAGGGUUGGAAACUUCAGGCUGGAAAUUGGGAGUUGUCACCUACAGAUGGCAUCUGAAGACAGGAGACUAGAGGAAGUCUCAGGAGGCUAAAUGUUCAGUGGCUGAGCUCUGGGACACCUGAGUUCUUUAGACUCAGAAGAUGAUAGUGGACCAGCAAAGGCACUGAAGAAUAGCUCGGAGGAAAACCAGGUAGGUCUGGUGUCCUGGAAACCACAGGAAGAAUGAGGAAGUGACCCACUACUAUUAAUUAGUACCAUCAUGUACAUGGGCACAUGUAUUUACAAUGUGCCCAUCACUGUUCUGAGUCUUGUAUGUAUAUUAACUCGUUACAUCCUCAUAAUCCCUAUGAGGUAUUUUGUUUUAUUAUCUCUGCUUUGCAAAUGGGAAGUCAGGCCCAGAGGUAAAUAAACUUGUCCAGUCACAUAGCUCACAAGCACUGGAGCUGGGGUUUGAAUCUGGACCAUCUAGUCUCAGGGUCAUUGGUCUUCAGCACCACAUCAUGUGUGCCCAAACACUGCAGGUGCAGGUGGAAAAGCUCAGCGCUGAGACGAAGCACUGUGGAUAUCUUCGGUGAGCUUAAAAGAGAAGCUUGGAGUGAGUCCUGGAGGAGAUAGAAUGAUUAGGGGCAGUCGAUGAGGCACGGGAGGAGAGAUGGUGAAGAUAGCAGCCAGAGACAACUCUCAUGAAUAGCUUGGCUGUGAAGGGGAGUGAGAAACGUUAGGAAGACUACAGGGAGAUGUGCAAUCAAAGAGGAAUUUUAGGAAGAAUGUUAGAAAUUAUGGUAUGUUUGUAGAUGGGUGGGACUGAAAGGGUAAAAAGGAAAAGAAUAAUGACCUAGGAGGAGAGAAGGUGAACCUUGCAUUUGUAACUGUGAUCUAGAGAAGAGAGAAUGUGAACCCUGCAUUUGUAACUGAAAAAUUAUUUGCUGAGCUGCUUAAUGUCAGUGAUCUCUGCCAAAGUAUAAACUGCUAGGGUUGGGGGAUUUUAGAUUUCCAGGUGCUGCUGUGGCUCCAUGUGCUCCACGUCCUUGCCUGGUGAAUGGGGGAAGGAAUCAUGCCACUGAUGAAGGUCAAAGCAGGGCUCCUGGUGCCCUGAACCUCCAUACCUUCCUGCCCCACCGCUGCCUGCAGACCCAGCUUUCUGCUCGCAGCCUGGGCAUGCCUUCUGCCUGUAUCCUCCCAUGAAGGCCAACUCCAAACCCACCAGGCAUUGCUGAGGAGUAAGUGGGAGGGAGAAGUCACAUGGCACAGGAUGCCGUGAAACUGCCCCAGAGCCCUUGGAAGUCUCCCCGGACAGCCACUUCACGCCUUUCCCUGGUUCCCAAACCUCAGUCCUGCCAGCUGCCUGGGCUCUACCUCUAUGCCACUGCUCCACAGGCUGCUUGGCUCUAUUCUCACUGCCCUUUGUUUCCCAGCCUUGGGUCAGGGACAGACCUCCAUCCAUUUCAUGGGAAGACUCCCUAAGGCCCAGAACUUCUCCAUCUCAGAGGGAUGAAUGGUGGUCAGCAGAGAUGCUUUCAGGAGUGAGGGAUCAGAGGCUCUGGGAAAUGCCUCACCAUUUCACAGAAGCCCUUUUCCUUCUGCCAACCCCCCAGGGGCAUUUAUAAAAUUCCAGAGUGAGAUUGAGAAGCUGAACUAACUCACCUGCAGGGCUGGGUCUCCCCCACCAGGCAGCCACAAUAGCCUGCAAGGCAUCUGCUGAGUGUGGGAGAAAUGCUGCUUUUCAACGUAGGUAUGAGGGCAGAACUCAUGCGUGUUUGUCAAAAAGGCCUCCCACAGUUUUUGAGGCAUCACACAUACACCUACUCACACUCCCCCAUGGAGGCAUGCUCUCCUCUCUCACACACGCACAUGCACGCAGGGACUCACACAUAUCACUCAUCAUGCCUCUCUCCCCUCCCCACACCGAGCUACCCUGCCGGCAGCACAGAGUGAACAGCGCCGUGCACCCAUCUGGGCCUGACCUGCCUACAUUGUUAGCCUAAAAUACUUGUGAGUAUAUAUACAGCAUGGUAAGGAACUAAUUUUUGAAGCCAGUGUGGGGGCUCCAGGGCACUCCGCCAUUUCCUCUUUUCCCUAAAGCUGUUAAACUAAAUUAUAGGGCUGGGAGAAUGAGAGGCCAGCUGUGCUUCAGCUGCAGGCCCCAGUUGUUGUGACAAAGUGAAAAGUGUGGGUACCAACAGAUCAUUAACUGUGCAGCCAAAAAUAGGCUGAUGAUUGGAUCUCACGCUCUGCUCUGAGGAGACCGUGGACCCAACUCUGGCAGGUGCUGGUUCUAGCCCAGGAUGGCACUGACUCUCACAGCCAAAGGGGCAUUGACAAUUGCCCCUAACACACCACCUCACGUUCUUCUUACUUCAUUACAUAAGGGCAAGUUUUAUUUUUUUAUAAACUGUUCUUAAAAUUGACAGGGGUUUUUGUCUCUGUUUUGGUUUUGUUUUUAAAAUUUCCCCACAAUUUCCUGUUGCCUUGCCUCUUUGGCUGAGUUCGACUUUCCUGUUGACUAUAAUUACUGCGAGUCUGGUGAAGAGUUGAAAAAUCUAAGUUGACAUUAAAGGUGCAUUACACUUGAAUAAACCCAGAGACAGAAUAUCACACGUUGGUUUGGAGUUGCCCCUGUGUUUUGUCUAGAUUAACAAAUUUAGACGGCUUUUGAUUUGCAUAGCAUUAAUAACUGCUGGGGCAAUCUCUGGAACUUGUAAACACUGCUCAUAAAUAGUCGCUAAAGUGUGAGGUUGAAUAAACAUUACCUCGAUGGUUUGUGAAGGACUGGCCAGCAUGAAACCAAAUUGUGCUUUGAAAUAAGACCUUUGUCAUUGGGAAGGAGUGGAGAGAAAACAGGACUGGGACACUAAACAGUAGCUACUUCAAUUUCUUGACUGCUUAGCAAUCCACAAGUGACCAGAAACGGUUGACAUCAUCUGUGGUGCCUCAGUUUCUCUCUCAUUAUUUGUAAACUGGCAAUCAUAGUCUAGAAGACUGAUGUUUUAUGCAGUCACUUAUUCAUUCCAUGUUGGAAGAAGAACUGAGAAUAUUUUUUUGGCUGCAGCCUUGUCACGUGAACGUACAAAUUUUGACCUUGAAGAAUCCAUAGACACCUUCCAGUUCUGCGUCAUUUUACACAGGGGGCAUCCCAGGCCCAGGGAGCUGCAUGGAGCUGGUUAGGCUCUCUGCUGCAGACCAAGCAGAGGCAUCAUUUCUCAAGGCUUCUGUCAUCUGUGGCUAUCAGCUUUGCUAUCAUGACUCACAUUUGCAACCUGGCCUAUUUUCCGGGCAAAUGUGGACUGGCCUGGACUUGGCAGAGGCUCGUAGAGGAGAUGUUUGCAAAUGAAGAUGCAUAAAAAGUUUAAAGCUUAAUGGAAAUUCAAAAUUUAAACUUACUUAGGAGAAAGGGUUUUAAUCAUACAACUUAGAAUAUUCUUCUUUCCACGCUUUCUGAGAUGUUGCUAAGUAAAGGAAAGCUAAUAGCCAGAGAAGAUGUAGGGAAGUGUUCCUGACCAGGCACUGGGGGCCCUGUCUUGUUCCUAACUAACUGUACUGGUCAUGAUAAUGUUUGCUGAGCAUUUACUAUGUGCUAGGAUUUUAGGUAAUGUGGUUAACCAUACAGUAUCUCAUUUAGACCUCACAAGGAAUCUUUGAGGUAAGUGCUGUUAUUGUCACUAUUUUAUAUUUUUAAAAAGUUCAAAGGAGGCUAACAUUCGCCCAAGGCCACAUGACUGGUAGUGCAACCAGGAUUUUAACCCUGAGAUUCUGGCAACCCGUGCUGCCUGUGCUUAUCUCUGUUUUGAUUCUGUCACUGAGAUGCCGGGCCUUUCAAGGUACCGUGCAGAUGCUUGGGCUGCCCAGCGCUGGUGAUUUCUUGUUGGGGAACACUCCGAUGAUUAACUGAAUGUCUUCGCUUCUUGUUCGUGUGAAGCACACAUGUGUUUGGGCACCGCGUGUGGAGGCUGUGGAAGGCUCCCAGAUGAGGGCACGUGGCACUCAGGGUUUGCCCACUUACCAUUUGAGCCAUCGACAGGCACGAGGAUGGGAAGUUGGGCCUCGGUGAAACGCCCUGGCUGGAAAUGCCUGGUCUGCUAAGCGGGGAAUACUCUGGGUUGAAGCACUUGUUUUGAUGACGUGUUUCACUGGUUGCAUCAUCAUUUAAAUAAUGACCAGUCUCAGGGCUUAUUUCUCAACAGAAUUCUAGUUUUCAGGUCUGUAACGAUGGGCAGAUUUUCCAUGACACGACUAAAGUCCAACGCCAGUGCCACUUCUCCCAUGAUGCUUCCCGUUCUCUCUUGUGCCCACCGAGGCCCUGUGGCUUUUCCUUGAAACUUCCCCGUGGCCCUCAUCGCGUGCCUCAUCUUGUGUCACAGUUAUCUGCGCAGCAGAGAAAAAGGAGCACAGACCUCACAGACAGACAGAUUGGGCUCAACAUGCACCUGGGCCUUGAGGAGAAUCUGCCUGUGCAGGGAGGCUCACAUGCUGACCGCGAGCAGACGGAACAAUCCUCGUUUGUUCAUGGAGAAACAAGACCACGGGUGACUCUGGGUAACUGAGACCUCAGGAAGUGAAACCUCAGAUAAAGGAAGCUCGGUCUGUGCAUCUGGGGUCCUGGUAAAAUCAUUUUGGGUGGCUCUCUGGCUUCUGGUCCCGAGUUUUGGAACUCACCUGUAGAAGGUACCCAUGUUGCUUGCAAAGGUAAAUCUCUUCCCCUGAAAGGUGAGUAGAUGUCCUAUUCUUGGAGGUUUUAAUUAAAAAGAAAAAAGUAAAUAAAUCAACCUAUGGAAAUUCACACUUUUAAGCAUAGGGACAAUUUUUUAUCAUUGAGAUAAUCUGCAUACUUUUGGUACUUAAAGUAUAUGUAAUAUUGGCCGGGCACGGUGGCUCACACCUGUAAUCCCAGC